rnacentral:rRNA from 1 species
CCUACGGGUGGCAGCAGUGGGGAAUAUUGGGCAAUGGUCGCAAGCCUGCCCCAGCAACGCCGCGUGAAGGAAGAAGGCUUUCGGGUUGUAAACUUCUUUUCUCAGGGCCGAAGCAAGUGACGGUACCUGAGGAAUAAGCCACGGCUAACUACGUGCCAGCAGCCGCGGUAAUACGUCGGUGGCAAGCGUUAUCCUGAUUUACUGGGUGUAAAGGGCGGGUAGGCGGGACUGCAAGUCAGAUGUGAAAACCACGGGCUCAACCUGUGGCCUGCAUUUGAAACUUUAGGUCUUGAGUACUGGAGAGGCAGACGGAAUUCCUAGUGUAGCGGUGAAAUGCGUAGAUAUUAGGAGGAACACCAGUGGCGAAGGCGGUCGGCUGGACAGCAACUGACGCUGAGGCGCGAAAGCGUGGGGAGCAAACAGGAUUAGAUACCCCUGUAGUC